rnacentral:lncRNA from 7 species
UUCAGCUCCUAGGGGAGGUGGUCCUAUUUUAAUUUUUGACCACUUUAUUUUUAGCAAUGGGGAGUCUCCUUUUUAAUUUAGUUUAUUUUUUUAAUGCUACAUGAAACCUUCUGUGCUACAAACUCCCCACAUGAGCCCAGCUGAUGUGAGUAUUCAGCUCAGGGCAGCUGAGAACGGAGCACAGCCACAAACAGAAGGCAGCAUCAGCGAAUCAUACAGGAGCUGAAAGUUCAGAGAGGGAACAGAGAACUGACCUACGUGGAGCAGGAAGAGCUUCUGACCGUUUCGAGUUUCAAUGUUUAUGGUAGUUUUUAAGGAGUUCUGUAGCACUGUUAAGUGAGUGGUGAGCAAUGUAGACUUAGCACAAAAUUGGAGUUGCGUUACCAAAUUCCCAGCUCUGUCUGGUCACCAGCUGUGAGCACAAAGACUGCAUUGCGUGUGAGCCAGAUUCCCUCCUAUGUGGCAAUCCACCCAAAUGAAGGGUAAACACAAAUGGCUUUUCUCAAGUUCUUCUGCUUUCAGGAAUUAAACUCAUCAACUUCAUCUUUAUAUUAUCAAAGUACUCUUGGGUUUUGAGAGCUUUCAACUCUACAUGGUUAUCACAAAUAGCCCUGCAAUGCGUGCCAGUCAACCAAGCGUGCAAUGAAAUUUACGUCAAAUUGUCUUUUGAACAAAAAUGUUUUUCUUUAAAAAAAAAAUAAAGAUCAGUUUUCAUUAUAAUACUCAGAGCUUUGUACAUCAAAAGCUAGAAAUAUAGUAACCCCAUGUUUUUGGAUUUUGUUAUAGUAUUCAAAAGAAAUAGAGUUCCUUGCAGUGAUAUGUACAUAAAAAGUACUCUCUUCCACUGGAGCAUAAUUGUAACAGCACUAAAAUAUUACACAACCUGAACACCAUGUCUCCUUUCAGUGAAAUCUUGGGACGUGUUACAACUGUGAUGUCAAUCAUGUAUGUUGUAACACAUCCUGACUUACUGCCUUCUCUGAUCAUCCUGUGGUGAUAGAGAUGUGCGCUGUGCUUCUCUCUUCCUCUUUCCUUAGGAUUUUUUUUUUCAAUGGGGAAAACAUAUCAGGCCUUUAUAAGGCCUAUUAAACAUACGUGUUUCUUCUGAUAUGUGAGUGCUGAAAGUGAAGUCUCACAUGGGGAAAUUGCUGCUUUGGUUUAACUCAUGAUGCUUAGCUAAAAUUAAAAGUAAAUGGAAGGAUAACUGAGUAAUCAUCAUCUCAUAAUGCUGCAGCAUCUGUAUGGAUUGAAUAAAAAGUUUGGCAAUCUCUGGAAGUACAUAAAAGAUUGAUACUGAGUUUACUCAGUGAACUGUUAUUAUUAAUUAGUAAUUAGUAGUGAUAAUAGUGAUAACCUGCACAGUACAGAAAAUGGAGUCAAUCCAUUCUCAGCAGCAUAAGUUUGAUUGAAUUGUUAUUUGUGAAGGGUCUGAUUUUGCUGGUGCAUUUCCAUGUUUUAAUCUCAAUGUUUUCUUUAACAGUUUUCUGCCCCAAGCAGUUACUCUCAUAGUAGUUGGUUAUAAACACUUGAUAUAUCCUAUCUGAAGAGAAACAAAGCACUUGAUGAGCAAGAAGAGGAGUGUAAAUUAAUGAGAGUGGGAAAGCUGUUUUACAGGCCAAUAACCUGAUACCAAAUGCAUGUAGACCAGAAAUAGGCAUUUCUACAGAGAUCUGUGCUCUAUAAUAAAAGCAGUACAGUGCUACUUAUUUCGUUCAAGU